rnacentral:rRNA from 1 species
UACGUAGGGUGCAAGCGUUAAUCGGAAUUACUGGGCGUAAAGCGUGCGCAGGCGGUUAUGUAAGACAGGUGUGAAAUCCCCGGGCUUAACCUGGGAACUGCAUUUGUGACUGCAUAGCUAGAGUACGGUAGAGGGGGAUGGAAUUCCGCGUGUAGCAGUGAAAUGCGUAGAUAUGCGGAGGAACACCGAUGGCGAAGGCAAUCCCCUGGACCUGUACUGACGCUCAUGCACGAAAGCGUGGGGAGCAAACAGGAUUAGACUACCC